UAGGAUGGGGUGUAUUGGUAGCACGAAGAAUUUUGAAUUCUUAAGUGUAGGUUCAAUUCCUACUAUCCUAG
rnacentral:tRNA from 1 species